rnacentral:misc_RNA from 1 species
AAAACAAUAGACCCGCUCGGGUUUGUAUUGGGCGUCGCCUCCUGGCGUAGCCUCAAAGGCAUUGGUCUUAUACGCGGACGAGUUCCUUUAGGACGGACCGUGUCGGGACUUUAAACCAUCUG